AUCCAGCUGACGAGUCCCAAAUAGGAGGAAACGCUCGUUCUGUAU
rfam:Schistosoma mansoni strain Puerto Rico chromosome 1, complete genome